UUUCCAUUGAGUGUCUUCUCACCGUCGACCACUAUAAAGAUGUCCAUUGGUACAACUCAAAAGGACAGCAGCUGGAUGACAGAGGCAGAGCGAGAAAGGCACCUGGCACCUGCAGGCUGGCUGCUGAGGACUAGACCCAGAGUGAUAAACAAGAAAAAUGCUGCCCCUGCCCUUUGGGAACCCGCAAUGUGUGGAGGAAGAUUGCAGUGACCAAUGUCUAGAGCCUUGGCUUGCACACAGGAGGCCUCAAUAAAUAUAAAGGGAAAGAGUGAAGAAAACCCAGAAACUUGGAGACAAUAGUACCUGUAGUUCUACUGAUGGCCACGAGAGGGCGCGGUUGCGUCGCAGAAUGGACGGGAAGACUCGCAGUUGCUCAUCCUUUCGUAGAGCCGUCGGUGGGAAUCAACAGGCGGGCAGCCGGGUGGCCAGGCAGGCCCCGUUGGGACGUGGAGAUGUGAUUAUCGCCUCUUAAAGCCUCGUGCCCAGCGCAAAGCCAACCUGCUCCUGGAGCUGCUCUUGGAAACCAGCCGCAGCACAUAUCCAGAAAGCUUUUGGAAGAGAAUCCAUGAGGUUAGUAAAAGCAUUUCAGCAAGUCUCCAACAGGGUUUGGUGGACACCAGCUCCUGGGGAAAGACUGGGGGAAAGGAGUAAACUUGGCCUCGUCCAGUUGGACACAGCCCUGGUCGGAAUUAGAUUGAGUGGGGUAGUCACUCCAAGUUUAAGUCCAGAAACCAAAUUUCCAAGAAUUCCAGAGGAGAUAGUUGAGGAGCCUGGCUUGAAUACAUCCCUUCCUGAAUCUGGGAUAUUCCUGGGCCCACGCUUUACUUUUUGGUCAUUAAUAUGGCCAUCUGCCUAUCCACGUGUGUGUGUGUAUAUACAGCCUAUACAGACACACACACACACACACACACACACACAUACAUACAUACACCUAAAUUCUCCAAGAGAACCAUUUUCAUUCUCUAUAACCAAAGCUCUGGGCAUGGGAAUUAAGCAAAACAAAACCAAACCUCUAGCUGUGUGACUCAUCUAACCUGUAGAAAGUGGUCACCACAUCUUCGUUCCCUACCGCAUGGAUUCGAUUUGCUGAUCGGAAGGUAAAAUAUUAUGAGAGCUCCUUGUGAACCUCCAAAAGUCAAGUUGGUUUUUCUGAUGAUGAGAAGGACUACUUAGCAUUCAUAACUGGUACUUGAAACCAGCAGGGAUUUUACCAGAAGACCCCCAAACAGCUGUGGAGCUCAGGGGAGCCACAGGUUUGUUGGCAUGUGGUUUGCAUACGAUUUAAGAAUAAUAUUAAUUACGAUAAUGGCCAAAAUAUGGAGUCCUUGCUAUGGGCCCAUAAACCCAUUCCAUACUUAAUUUCAUUUAAUCCUCUUAAUCCUUAUAACAUAAGGGCUAUUCUAAUCCUCCAUUAUAUAGAUGAGGAAACAAAGGCUCAGAGAGAUUCAAUAACUUGCCUCAAAUGACAGGCUAAUAAAUGAGAUUUGGGCCCAGUCCAUCUCCCCAAACCAGAGCUAGAGUGAGCCAGAGGGACCGUGAAAUCUGGCUCUAUUGUAAAAUGGUAGCGCCAGCCUUGGGUCUUAGGGUCAGGCAGACCUGGUGCAUAUCCCAGCUUUGCUACAUCUGAGCUGUACAAACUUGAGCAAGUGAUUUAUCUUCUCUAAGCUGCUGUUUCAUCUCUGUACAAUGAAGAUAAUAUUUUCCUUGAAGGGGUAUUGUGAUGAUUAAAUGAGAUAACGCAUAAAGCACCCAGCCAGUUCUUGUCAGAGUAGCUGUCCGUUAAAUAUUAGUCCACCCCUGACUUCUCAUGAAAGAUGAAAAAAAAAACAAAGCCCUGAGAAGCUAUUAAUAUAUGUCUUAGCUGACAUGCCCACGUGCUCCUUUAGACUUUGUGGUCAGUCCUCGGGCCAUCUCCAAAUAAGCCUUUAUCUUUGCUGCCGUUGGCAGCCAGGAAUCUUGACUUGGUUUCGUAUAGCCAUUUCCUGAUCCCCCCAAGAUCCCCCUGGAGGUGGGGCCUACCAGAAGCCUUUGCCCUGCCACCCUCCCCUCUGCCGGCCCUUCUUCCCCGCCCCUUCUCUAUAGAUUGAAAAGAAGAGAUGGGACAAGGAGAGGUUAAAAGUUCACUUGGUCAUCAAGAGAAUUAAGGCAAGGAGAAGGGCUAAUCCGGAAGGGCGAGCUGGGUGGCUUGGGUUGCGCCCGCUCUCCAAUCAAGAGCCUCUCCUCUCAGCUCUCAGCUACCCACUUAUGCGCAGCAAGAUUCACUUAGUGACACCGUCUGGAAUCUCAUUUGUCAUUGGAGCUGAAAAAGACCUCAGAGAUUAUUUCACUUGCAGCUUCAUGCUUGGUCCAUGAGGCGUCACGGGCGAUUGGAGUCACGCAUUAGCAGAGCUACCCCGGCCCCCCAGGGUCCUGGCUCCCCGGCCUCUCUGCCUCGGGCUACUUUGAUCCCCGUGACCUUGCCAGUCUCUGCAGGGUUGUUGCCCUGGAGUUUGACAUGGUCAAGGCUGCAGUGGUGGACUUUACCCUCCUGGUGCCAUCUUCUCUCCCCACCUCCCUCACUCUUGCUCUGCUGGGUGCCACUUAGGUCCCAAAGCCUAUUUUGCAGCCUCCUGGCUGCGCAGGACCCCACACUAUGGUAACCUCCUUGGGCAAAAACCCAUGUCCUAAAGCUUCUCCUCUGCCCAUUUCUCUGUCACAACCUAAGCUUUGCUACAUCCCAGCCAAAAGUAAAUCUGAGAUGGAAUAGGCUCCAGCAUGUUUACUACUAGUGAGGAACUCAAAAGGCGCUAUGGUUGUUUAGUCUUAAAACUGGUCUCCUAGAGGAGUGAAACCCUUACCCAGACGGAUGAGGCCCUUAUGGUAGAAUUCUGGGAAUUCUGAUGGAGAAUAUUCUCCCCAGCAUGCCUCCAAGUGUCUAGUUGAGAUAGCUCUCAGCAUUGCCCCCAGCUGAUACUAGCCUUGAGUUAGAGGCAUAUGUGGUUUCAAGCAAUAGACUGAUGAUGGUCUGGUGUCUUUUCUGGAUCUAAGACAUUCCUUGGUCUACUUAUCAUGCCAAACCUAAAGUUACUUAUCUCCAUUUCCUUGGAGCACUCUUUUAAUCCAUCUCUCCUUUCCACCCAGUGCCUGUAGUCAGAGGGUGAAGGAAAGUGGGGAAUUGUUGGGAGAGCAUGCUGGCUACUCCGACUACUUCUUGUAGCAACUCCAGAGGCAAUUAAAUUCACCCCUUCCUAAAACUCUCAAGCACAAAAUCCCAAAUGCCUCAUUUCCACCGGACUUUACCUCGUUCCGAAAAUCCUAAGAUCAAUAGAAGUGUUAAUUGUAAUAAUAAAAAUGGUGUUGCUGCCAGCUAUAGAUUUCCUCUUCAUGUCCUCAUGAUUCACGGUGGUCCUGAGGGCUGAAUAGAACCCAGUGGUCAAGAGCUGGGACGACCACAUGUCCCUGUUUCUGCCUGCUCUCCUGGCAUAAUUAAUAAGAGUGCCUUUCACUCUCCAAAGUGUCCUUGGACGAUAGACUAUAGUCAUCCUCUUACAAGCAUGGGCUUUGGAGCGAAUUUCACCUGGAUUCAGACCUCAGUCCUGCUUCUUGAUAGCUGAGUGACGUUGGACAAGUUACUCAAGACCUCUGAGCCUCAGUUUCCAAAUCUGCAGAAAGAGGAUACUGUUAGCCUCCAGCUGAGAGGGUCUGGAGGGACUGGCCUCACACAGCGCCAGGCACAUGGUAAGAGUGCAGAACGAGUUAGCUCUGAUUCCAGCACUGCAGAGCAUCCAUGUACCGCCUUCUCAUUUGUGUGUUCAGCUUGGGGGGGAUGGAGAGUCCUGUGAGGAAUAUUUUGCACUGAAGACACACACCUGGACUUGUAGCUAGACAGCCUACCUGCCAACGCUGUGACCCUGGGCAAUCGGAAGGCCCUUGCAGAGCCCUGUCUUGCUCAUUUGCGCAAUGGGGAUAGCAAUCUCAGGGUUGUUGUGAAGAGAAAAUGAGAAAAAAGUAUUGGAAAGCACUGGGCCCUCUGUGUGAAAUCGAUAAAGGCUUCUGCUUCUUCGUACAUUUGGGGAAAGUGAGGUGCAGAAAGGUGAGAAGAUCUGCCCAGGUGCACAGCUCGGCUUCACAGGUGAAACAGAGCAGGUCAGGCCCUGUGCACGUGCCACUCUAUCUUCUGAUCUCAGGACUCUAUUCUCCCUCCUCCUUGGGUCCCAAUUGUGCCCUAAACCAUCAGUAUCGUUUUCAACUCUAAAUUGUUCCCUCUUAAGCUCUCCCCUCCUUUAUCACGGAGACUAGAAACAGGAAAAGGAAGCAUCAGGAUGACAUGCAGCUGGCCCUAGGGUUUCUGGAUUAGAACCAAAUUUCAUGUGCGUGGAACUGAUGUCAGUUUGCUGGCUAUGUGACAUUGGGCAAUUACUCUACCCUGCUGAGCUGCAAUUUUCUCGUGUGUAAAAAGAAAAUGAUACCCCUUGCAGGGUGAGUGGCAAACACAAGAUUCUGACUCCCCAUGCUUUUAACCCUGAUUCUACCUCAAGUUCAGGACCUGUUCAGUCCCAUGGCCAUUUGGGGACCAGUUAAGAUGAUGGCAGGCAGUAAGAAUAGAAUCUACAUUUCAGGUGUCUGAGAUUGACUUCAAAAGUUUGGGAUUUGUGCUAAGGUAGGAGAUAUGAUGCCAUCUCAUACAGGUAGGUAUUUUAUUCAAAAUAGUCUACAAAGCAUUUGGACUGUUUUUGUGUUCCAUACCUGUAAUUCUCUAGCACAGACUGCAGCCUGCAGGCAAAAUCCAGCCUGCCACCUAUUUUUAUAAGUGGAGUUUUAUUGGCACGUGGCCAUACCUGUUUAUGUACUGCCUGUGGCCAUUUUCUCACCACAUGACAGAGUGAAGUAGUUGCAACACAGACAAUACAGACAACAAAGGUUAAAAUAUUUACUAUCUGAUCCCUUCCAAAUAAGGAUAACAAUCCUCUUACAGAGUAUAAGAUCAUUUAAGGUUUAAUAAUGCUAAUUACAAUAAUACCUGAUGCUAUUGUGUGCUUGCUCCAUUCUCAGUAUUGUUCUAAGGAUUGCAUAUGUUCUAUCUAAUUUAAUACUUGAAACAAUCCCAGGGUAUACCCACUAUUAUUCCCAUUUUAUGAGUGGGGAGACUGAGGUAGAAAAAGGUUGUCACUUGCUCAAAGUCUUGUAGCCUAUAAGUGGCACCGUUGGGGUUCUAACCCAGGUAGUGUAAAGUAUUAGAUGUCGUUUACAACUUUCACACCUAUUUCCCUUUCCUGAUCAACUUAGCAUGAUAUGAGAGACAAUUUUAGGUGGUCCCCAAACACAUUAAAAAGCAUCUCCUGGGCCAGCCGAGUGGUGCGUUGGUUAAGGGUUGGCUUGGGAUGCCAGCUC